rnacentral:misc_RNA from 1 species
UUCACAAUGUAAGUCAUUCUAGCAUUUCCCACAUUCGUAUUGAUGUUAAUGAGUCUAGAUAAAUAUCUAGACUCAUUAACAUCAAUACGAAUGUGGGAAAUGCUAGAAUGUAUCUAUCUAGAUUCAUUAACAUCAAUACGAAUGUGGGAAAUGCUAGAAUGACUUACAUUGUGAA